AGAGAGAAAUAGGUCGUGGAAAAGACGUGGACUCCACGUGGUUUCGUGGAUUUUUCGUGGUGGUGGAUACAUCCACCAGAUAUCCACCACUAUUUACCUUUCUAAAAAGUUGCAAAUAAAAUCAUAAGAAACCAUUUUUUCGUCAACAUUUCUUACUAAAUGGGAUUUUUAUUGUUCUGAACGCCAUAUUCCAGUAUAUUGUCAAUUCGACGUGGAAUCCACGUCGAAUCGACGUGUAUCAGUUCGUCUGUCAUUUACACGUCGAUUCCACGUUGAUCUCACGUCGAUUGCCUCGAAACCCUUGAUUUAGUUGCUCGUACCAGUUGGUCUCAAAUGUAGCUAUGCUUAUCACUUUAAAACAGCGCCAACGAAACUGUUAGACAUUUAUUCUGUGACAGAGCACACGCUUUUCAUUCGUCAUCUUCAUUGAAGAAUACUCAGAUAGUGUUCUUGUGAACACCUUUCAAAUAUUCCGCCACGACAUCAUAGAGUUUCGUUUUGGACGGAAAAAAGAAGGCACCGUAAGUUGUUUACAUUCGAAAUGUCGUAUCGUGUUUGUGGUCUUUUAGUACAAAUUACUACAAAAAAUCAAACAAGCGUUUUGUCUUCUGUGGACGUAUGGUGAUAUAGAGGCACAAGAGCAUGCUGGUACCAGAACUGCUGCCGUUAAUCAAAGUCGGAAGGUAAGGAAAGGUCUAAACUUAUAACUUCUCAGCGUGAUUCGGUUAUAGAUGUAUUUAGUGUCAAGAAAAGAUAUUUAAUCUCUGUCUUUUAUCGUGGGCGAAGUAUAGACUAGGUUAGUUUGGUUUAGGUUAUCAUACUUAACCUCUUAGGGAAUGACUCGAAGCCUGAAUAAAACAUUAAUUACACUGCAACUCAAAAUUUGUUUGCGUUUUUCACCGAACUUUUCUGCUAUUGUUACACAGUGUUAUUGUCA